AAGGAAAAUGAGAUCCACUUCGCCUUCCCAGCGCCAGGAGCUGGGUGGGAAGAAGGUGCUCGCGGAGGGCCUGGUUCUAACUCCUGAUAACCUGUGAUCGAUGUGGCUGCUGUCUUUCUGGUGACUGGUGAACUACCUUGUGAAGAACGGCUUUGGAGAGGGAUGACGAGUUCAGCCCUGCACGAGUUGAAUCUGGGUUGCCACGUCAUUCCUAGAGCUGCCAUAGCAAAGUGCCACAAACCGGGUGACUUAAAAGGACAGAAAUUUGGGCCAGCAGACGGUGUGGUGGUUAAGGAAGCUCGAUCUGCCCAGCAGAGCUUUCAAAGCUGCCUCCGAAGGAGACUUCGAGCUGCAGGGAUAUGGCUU